rnacentral:rRNA from 1 species
GAUGAACGCUGGCGGCGUGCUUAAUACAUGCAAGUCGAACGAGGGCAUCCACGUAGCAAUACGAGGGUGUUCCUAGUGGCGAACGGGUGCGUAACACGUAGGCGACCUGCCCCGAAGUGUGGGAUAACACCGCGAAAGCGGUGCUAAUACCGCAUGAUCUCCCCGAGGUCAGAGUCACGGUGAGCAAAGGCGAAAGCCGCUUUGGGAGGGGCCUGCGGCCCAUCAGCUAGUUGGUAGGGUAACGGCCUACCAAGGCAGCGACGGGUAGGGGGCCUGAGAGGGUGGCCCCCCACACUGGCACUGAAAUACGGGCCAGACACCUACGGGUGGCAGCAGUAGGGAAUAUUGGACAAUGGGCGAAAGCCUGAUCCAGCAACGCCGCGUGCGCGAUGAAGGCCUUCGGGUUGUAAAGCGCUUUUCGGGGGGAUGAGGAAGGACAGUACCCCCGGAAUAAGUCUCGGCUAACUACGUGCCAGCAGCCGCCGUAAGAC